rnacentral:rRNA from 1 species
AGAGAGAGACAUGCGUGCAUAUCAAUAAGCGGAGGAAAAGAAACUAACAAGGAUUCCCCUAGUAACGGCGAGUGAAGCGGGAAGAGCUCAAAUUUGAAAUCUUAAAGGGUUUCCCUUUACGAAUUGUAGUUUAAAGAAGUGUUUUCUGUUGAGGUUUUGGUAAAAGUUCUUUGGAAUAGGACAUCAUAGAGGGUGAGAAUCCCGUAUUUGACCUUUACUUUCAACUUUGUGAUACACUUUCAAAGAGUCGGAUUGUUUGGGAAUGCAGUCCAAAAUGGGUGGUAAAUUUCAUCUAAAGCUAAAUAUUGGCGAGAGACCGAUAGCGAACAAGUACCGUGAGGGAAAGAUGAAAAGAACUUUGAAAAGAGAGUUAAACAGUACGUGAAAUUGUCAAAAGGGAAGCGUUUGACACCAGUGUUGUUUUUCUGAAAAUCAAUUAAAGAACUGUUUAUGCUAAGUUGUUUAGACUUUAUCAGCUAACCGUUUAGUUUUGAGCUUUUCUUUAAUGCACUUUUCAGUUAACAAGUCAACAUCAAUUUCUUUUGCUGUAAAAAAGCUUGAGGAAGGUGGCUUGAGAUUCGUCUUAAGUGUUUAUAGCCUCUUGCCUAUGCAGUCGGAGAGAUUGAGGUCUGCAGCGUAGAUCCUUCGGGGCUAAAUGCAUUUGUGCUAAGUUAUAGCAUUUUAUAGACAACUUGUUGACUAUGAUUUGUCUUGUAGCUUACUCGCUUAUGUUAUUUUACCUACGCUUAGGAUGUUGACGCAUGAGAUAUACGC